UACGUAGGGUGCAAGCGUUGUCCGGAAUUAUUGGGCGUAAAGAGCUCGUAGGCGGUCUGUCGCGUCUGCUGUGAAAAUCAGGGCUCAACCCUGGACCUGCAGUGGGUACGGGCAGACUAGAGUGCGGUAGGGGAGAUCGGAAUUCCUGGUGUAGCGGUGAAAUGCGCAGAUAUCAGGAGGAACACCGAUGGCGAAGGCAGAUCUCUGGGCCGUAACUGGACGCUGAGGAGCGAAAGCAUGGGGAGCGAACAGG
rnacentral:rRNA from 1 species